AGAGUUUGAUCCUGGCUCAGAUUGAACGCUGGCGGCAUGCCUUACACAUGCAAGUCGAACGGCAGCACGGAGCUCGCUCUGGUGGCGAGUGGCGAACGGGUGAGUAAUAUAUCGGAACGUACCCUAGAGUGGGGGAUAACGUAGCGAAAGUUACGCUAAUACCGCAUACGAUCUAAGGAUGAAAGUGGGGGAUCGCAAGACCUCACGCUCGUGGAGCGGCCGAUAUCUGAUUAGCUAGUUGGUAGGGUAAAAGCCUACCAAGGCAUCGAUCAGUAGCUGGUCUGAGAGGACGACCAGCCACACUGGAACUGAGACACGGUCCAGACUCCUACGGGAGGCAGCAGUGGGGAAUUUUGGACAAUGGGCGAAAGCCUGAUCCAGCAAUGCCGCGUGAGUGAAGAAGGCCUUCGGGUUGUAAAGCUCUUUUGUCAGGGAAGAAACGGUGAAAGCUAAUAUCUUUUGCUAAUGACGGUACCUGAAGAAUAAGCACCGGCUAACUACGUGCCAGCAGCCGCGGUAAUACGUAGGGUGCAAGCGUUAAUCGGAAUUACUGGGCGUAAAGCGUGCGCAGGCGGUUUUGUAAGUCUGAUGUGAGAUCCCCGGGCUCAACCUGGGAAUUGCAUUGG
rnacentral:rRNA from 1 species